GUCCCUGGCCUCCCCUGCUUGGUUCGGGGCGGUUGGCCGUGGACGCGCCCCGACUCUAGUCCCUUCCGUCCAGCCGCCCGCCCCAGGAUGUCCCCCCACCGCAGCCCCGCCGUGGCCAGGAGGUGUGGGCGGCCACGCCGGAGGGACCCACGGCGGCGCCGGACGCCCGCCCUUCCUAGGCCCUGGCCCGGCCGGGGUGGGCCGGGACGUUCCCUGUUGCAUAGGCAUUUAUUUAUUCAGCAGCUACUACGUACGUGCUGGCCCGCACUGCCGAGGGACCGGACGCCUGCCCCAGGCGGGACAAUGCCGGGUGCAGCGCUGGCGGGGCCUGGACGCCAAGCUUCAGGGUCCCCAGCCCCUCAGUCAGAGGGGGCGCCUCCCAGGCCCUGGACUCCUCUCCAGCCGGGUCUACACCACCGUCCCCCGUCAUCUUCUUCUGGGUUACUGAGCAGCUUCUUUUAAAAUAGCAACACCGAGGAAGGCCCCGAAGCCCAGUCUUGCACCUCGUGGUGUGAAGUCGUUUAAUCCUGCCCGCUAAUGCGUAAGGACUUUCCACCGUGUGCAGGACUCCGCGCUGGGCAGGGGCUCUCGCAGGGUUUGAACCGACCUCCGCCUCCCCUGCGGGUUCACAGGCCUGCGAGGAAGUCGCGUGAAGGAGAUUCGCUACUGUGUGAGGCUGGCCUGCGCGGCGUGGGCAGUAGCUGUCCGGGGCUGGGGACAGCUUUCGGCUCCCCAGGCCAUCCCGUCGGGGCAUCUGCGGCCAAUCUCGAAGGUGGAGAGGCUCAGGGUUGGAACAGACUUCACGGAAGGGGUCCUAGAAGAGGAAAGGGGUCGUGUUUGCCCUUAGAGCAGUCUGGGCGUGAAGCGGAAACUUUAAACCACCAGAAACUCUGGAGAGCUUGGAGCACCUGGGAAGGAGCAACCAGAGUGGGCCGGAGGUAGGGAAGGAAGGCACCCACGGCGAAUUUGCCCGCUUUGACCGCAUUUAGGGCGGCCGCUUGUGCAGCCAGCCUUCUGGAAGGUAGGCUUUGCGCUUGGUGAAGAGAAGCCCCCACCUCCGGAUCUGUGUUCCGCCCCAGUCCAUUCAUCAGGAGGUGAUCACACAAGUCAAGCUUCUCUAGUUCCCGGUGGAAUGAGACGCCCUGGUGGGGUCUUAAGGUUGAACGUUUGAAUACUGUAAAAAAGAUGGGACCUGCCUACAAUUAAUCUCUCACACUACUGAGCGAAUGUGCGUUGUUUUGGACUUCCCUAAAUUGGCCCAAAUGCAUAGCCAACACUUGAAUUGCGGUGUACUAACAACAUCAUUCAGCACCAAACCAAACCAUUCUUAUUUAAACCUUGCUUCCUAGCUUAUUUAUUUCCCAAACAACUUGAAAACAUUUGUUAUACUAAAAUGUCUACAUCUUACUAUUAAAAAAAAAAAACCAAAGUAACACACUUUGCUGCUGCCGUAAUUUUAUGUCACUGAGAUGAACUAUUCUACAAUACUUGUAAUUUCAAAUUUGUUAAACUUUCAGCUAAGUAGUUUUACCCAAAUUCUAAAACCAGUGAGGAAUCCAAAAUAGCACGCAGCAUUAAAUGACGUUUAUUGUUCCAUAAAUCUUCAGACUUCAAAAAGAAACGCUAAAUAGACAAACAGAACUCUAAAGCAAUUAAGAGACAAGCUCGCUGCUUCUUCCCCACUGACUGGCAAGGAAACAUUUGGUCAUACAAAAGCCAUUAAAAUGACGGAAAGGAGAGUUGCCACUCUCUAGCCUUUUUUGUUCUGAUCAAGUUUGAACUCUGCUGUUCGGAGUUCACACAAUUUACGUAGUAACAGACCUUCAGAGAAUUCCUAACGGUCAAGACAAUGAAAUUGCAUUUAUAUCUGUAAAAGGAAAAGAAACAUGAAGAUUAUCCCCAUUUUAGAGGUGGACACAUUUAGAUUUGAUUUGAGCUCCAGAUGAUCCUUGGCAAAGAAAGAUGAUGCAAUCCGGUGUACAGGACGCCAUAUUGCCCUAGCCUGGAACCGUGUUCUAGCCGCUGAAGAGCCUAUUCUGUGGCUUUCAAAAUGUUCUUUUCUCCUAGCUUUACGUUUUCUCUCCAGCGCUAAAUCCGUGGGGAUAAGCCACCAUAAACAAAGCUCCCACUGUCAAUGUCCUAAUCUUGAGUGGCAGGAAAAUUGGUAAUAUCAAAAAUGGGAGUAGACAGUGAAAAUUAUUUUAAAAGAUAAUUCUAUUAUGUACAAAUUUAAAAGAUAUCAGGUGGGCCGGGCGUGGUGGUUCACGCCUGUAAUCUCAGCACUUUGGGAGGCUGAGGUGGGCGGAUCACCUGAGGUCAGGGGUUCGAGACCAGCCCGGCCAACAUGGCAAAACCCCGUCUGUGCUAAAAAAUACAAAAAUUAGUCAGGUGUGGUGGCAGGCAGCUGUAAUCCCAGCUACUCGGGAGGCUGAGGCAGGAGAAUCGCUUGAACCUGGGAGGCGGAGGUUGCAGUGGGCCGAGAUCCUGCCACUGCACUCCAGCCUGGGCAACAGAGCAAUACUCCAUCUAAAAAAAAUAAAAUAAAAAUAAAAUAUAUCAAGCACACCUAUAGUCCCAGCUGCUCAGGAGGCUGAGGCAAGAAGAUCACUUGAGGCUAGGAGUUCAAGGCACUAUAACCGUGCCUUUGAAUAGCCACUGCAUUCCAGCCUGGGCAACAUAAGGAGACCCUACCUCUUAAAAAAAAUGUUUAUAUGUAAACACACACACACACACACACACACACACACACACCCCUUUAAUCCAGCAAUCCCAGUACAAUUAUUUUCCUGUGACAUUAAAGUUGCUCAAGAUAUACAAGGAUAUUCACUGAAGCAUGUUUGAUAAUAACAAAGCCAGAAAAACCACCAGUAGCCAUCGGUAAGGGACUAAUUAAAUAAAUUAUGAAUUAUCCAUAGUUAGCAAGCAUUUUAAAAGCAUUAGAUAAACAUAUAUGUGCUGGUAAGGAGAGAUCUCCAGUAUAUGUUAAGUGAAAAAAAGCAAGGUGCAAAAAGACACUUGGCUGGCUAAGUUCAGUGGCGUUACAAUCUAGUCAGUUCUGGAGAUGGGGCCAAUCAUAAAAUGUAAAGAACACAGCCUCCUGUACACUUCCUUCCUGUCAAAGGAAGAACACAGAUAGUAAAGGAAGGAAAUUCUUAUAGAGGAUUAGUGCUGUCAGGGAGAUCCAUCAGAGAAGUAUCAUGAGGUAAAUAAUCAUUAAAGAAAAAGGAUGGGGAGAGAUGAGCAUAGACAUGAGUUUAAAAUGGACAGGCGUGGCGGGGCAUGUUUGAGGAAAGAAACGGGUGUGCAAAGUUCAAAGAUGAAGCUAGCACGAAAGAGCCCAAGACUGGCUGGAGGCAUCCAGUUAGGAGGCUGUUGUGAUAGUACAGGUAUGAGACAGAUAAGGUCUGGAUCAGAAAUAAGGCAAUGAAGGAUGAAAAGAAAUGGUUUGGCAAGAAUUUGCAACUGAUUAGAUUAAGAAGAGAGAGGCAAAUAAGCUAGAAGGAGGAAUCUGAGGUGAAUCCAAGAUUUUAGACUGUCAAAGGGCUGGAAAAAAUGAGGAAGUCCAAAGGGGGAUCUGAGAUGCAGUUGACUUUAGAAAUUAGAGAUACCCAGCAGAAAGUUAAAGGUCAGGACUAAAGCUCGAAGCAAAGGUCAGGACUGCAAAUAUAUGGCUGAAUGUCUAUCAUCUAAAAGUCUGUAGAGAACUGAGUAUGCAGGAGUGAACCUUGGGAGGGAAACAUCAGUGCAAGUCAAAUAGAAUUAAGUAAGCCAUCUAUAAUCCUAUUUUUGGCCUUCCACAAUUUGAUAUAAUUUUAUUUCUUUGUACAAUGUGGUCUACAUUUUCAGUUAUGUGUGUAAGAAUUAGUUGUUAGUGUAUGAACCGUCUUCACUAUGCUAGUGAGUCAGCUCUGUGUAGGACAAGAUGAACUGGUUUUCAAUAUUUUAAUAUCCCUUGUUUCUUCAAGGAGAUCAGGGAUUAUACACUUUUCAAAUUCUAAAUAAAAGAAUGUGCUUUGUUUCUUA
rnacentral:lncRNA from 1 species